rnacentral:lncRNA from 1 species
GGUCUGCGGACGCGGCAGAUAUACCUCGAAGUCUCUGGGAAAAUUGUCUCGCCUCAAGGGUGGUAGGACUGAGUCGAAGUACCUGGAUCUGCACAUGAAAAACAUACGUAGAAAGGGCAUGAGUACACCAUAGCGAUACUCAGUAAGUGCCAAGCCUAACCUCGAUCGGUAGUGACGAGGAAGGUCAGGGCCCUACUGAGGUUAAAUGAAAUGCAAAGUAUAAUAGUGUGGAAUAAGAUAGUAUAAUUAAGUGCAAUAAUAAGAAGUAACACAAGAUGGAAAGAACACCAAUAACUACAACAAAGACAAAUUAAUCACAGAAAGGGAUACAACUCAACACAUAAAUAACAACCGGGGAUCUCCCAAGAUACCGUCCUGUAGUCCCAAAUAUAAAUAUCCAGUGGAUCUCCUGGGAUACCGUCCCGUAGUCCAACUCAGUGCUGGGGGAAUCUACCGGGUGUAGUCCCGUAGUUCCAAUAUAAAAGUGUAGGGGGAUCUCCCGGAAUACCAAUCCAUAGUCCCAAAGUAAACAUGCAGGGGGAUCUCCCACGAUAAUGUCCCGUAGUCCCAAAGUAAACACACAGCAGCAACACAAAGAAUACUCAAUUCAAUUCAAAUUCCAUACCAAGGUAAAACAAGUAUUUCUAACCUAGCAUGCUGCACGGAAUCCAAAUAACGCAGUUUGAGCAAAUAAGGCAAUUAAGCCAAUUAGGCAUGCUUCCCUAAGCUAACAGUAAGCUUAAAUUGCAAGUAGUAUAGGCAGGAAUAGAAGCACAAUUAUAGUUAAUUAAUGAAAAUAGAAUUUUUCAAUAAUUAGCACAAGUACGCACUCGUCACCUCACAUAUAAGGCAUCUCAAAUAUCAUCAAUAUCAAAUCCUAAGGGAGAAUUCCCCUACACAAAGUUAGGCAAGCCACUUACCUCGAAUCGGCUCAAAAUCAACCCGAAACCACGUUCUUGCCACGAGUACUCGACUCCAAAUGACCCAAAUCUAUUCAAUUCAAUUGCAUAAUGUAAAUAACACUUCAAAUAACUGAUUCUACAAAAAAAUUCUAAGUUAAUACGCGAAAUUAGGAAAAAUGACAAAAAUGCCCUCCGAGGCCACGUCUCGGAAUCGGGUGAAAUUUAUAUUUUCAGAAUUCUCACUCUCACGAGUCUAACCAUACCAAAGUUAUCCAAAUCCAAUGUAAAAUCCCCAAUCAAAACUCGAAAUUUAGGUCUAAGAACUUUCUCCAAUUUUCCCCCAAUUUUCAUCCCAAUUCCGAAAUUAAAUGACAAAACUAAGAUUAGAUUAUAGGAAUACAACUAGAAGGGAUUAGGAAUCAUUACCCACUGAUUUCCUCUUCAAAAUCCUCCCAAAAUCGCCCUCUCCCGAGCUCCAAAUCAAUUUUCUAACUUUUGAUUUCAAACCCUCGAAAUUCUUAUUUUCUGCCCAUCAAAUCUGCUUCUGCGGUCAAGGGACCGCACCUACGGUACCGCUUCUACAGAUAAAGGACCGCACCUACAAAAAUUCAUUAAACCUCAAGCUUCCGCACCUGCGACCAACAUACCGCACUUGCGCUAUGGACCCGGAACCGGAAUCAACAACCUCGAACGGAUUCUAAUCGACUGAGUUGGCCGGAGAUGAUGAAACUCCGGCGAAGCGCCGGCAAGGCAGUGAUCUUAGUUAAGCUUAACUCGCCGAACAAAAGAAAAAAAUUGAAAAAAAUAAUAAUUGGUCGACUGCUUCUCUUUAUUUCCUCUGACCGUGUGUUUUUCUUCAAU